ensembl:snRNA U6 U6 spliceosomal RNA
UUGCUUUGGUAGCACGUAUACUAAAAUUGGUACAAUGCAGAGAAGCUUAGCAGGGCCCCUGAGCAAGGAUGACACGCAAAUUUGUAAAAGGUUCCAUAUUUUU